rfam:Corynebacterium frankenforstense DSM 45800 strain ST18, complete genome.
UCGUGUUUGUCUAGUGGCGCACGGUGGAUGCCUUGGCAUGCUGGGCCGAUGAAGGACGUGUGAGGCUGCGUUAAGCCUCGGGGAGUUGUCAACUAAGCGUUGAUCCGAGGAUGUCCGAAUGGGGAAACCCGGCCGUCGUUGUUGGCGGUCACCUGCCGGUGAAUGUAUAGCCGGUUGGGAGGUAAGGCGGGGAAGUGAAACAUCUCAGUACCCGUUGGAGAAGAAAACAAUUGUGAUUCCGUGAGUAGUGGCGAACGAAAGUGGAUUUUUGGCUAAACCUGUCCGCGUGUGACACCGUUUCCGGGGUUGCGUGGCAGGGGUUGUGGGCUUUGAACGUGUCGGUGCGGUAACCGCCGGCGGAUGGAUGUGUGUGGUAAGCGGAACCGGCUUGGAAUGGUCGACCGGAGUAGGUGAGAGUCCUGUACGUGAAUGCCGCAUGUGUUGUCUUGUUCUUGUUUGCCCGAGUAGCAGCGGGCUCGUGGAAUCUGCUGUGAAUCUGCCGGGACCACCCGGUAAGCCUGAAUACCCAGUGUGACCGAUAGUGGAUAGUACCGUGAGGGAAUGGUGAAAAGUACCCCGGGAGGGGAGUGAAAUAGUUCCUGAAACCGUGCGCUGUCAAGCCGUCAGAGCCCUUUAGGGGGUGAUGGCGUGCCUUUUGAAGAAUGAGCCUGCGAGUCAGCGGCACGUCGCGAGGUUAACCCGUUGUGGGGUAGUCGUAGCGAAAGCGAGUUUUUAUGGGCGUUUAGUGGCGUGUCCUGGACCCGAAGCGGGGUGAUCUACCCAUGGCCAGUGUGAAGCGACGGUAAGACGUCGUGGAGGCGCGCACCCACUUAGGUUGAAAACUGAGGGGAUGAGCUGUGGGUAGGGGUGAAAGGCCAAUCAAACUCCGUGAUAGCUGGUUCUCCCCGAAAUGCAUUUAGGUGCAGCGUCGAAGUGAGCGUGCCGGAGGUAGAGCUACUGGUUGGUUGAGCGGGAUUAUCGUCUUAGCAACAUCAGCCAAACUCCGAAUGCCGGUGUACGUGUUCUUCGGCAGUGAGACCGUGGGGGAUAAGCUCCAUUGGUCGAGAGGGAAACAGCCCAGAUCGCCGGUUAAGGCCCCUAAGGGUGUGCUCAGUGGAAAAGGAUGUGGGAUCGCGAAGACAGCCAGGAGGUUGGCUUAGAAGCAGCCAUCCUUGAAAGAGUGCGUAAUAGCUCACUGGUCGAGUGGUCCUGCGCCGACAAUUCAGUGGGGCUCAAGUACACCGCCGAAACCGCGGCAGACUUUUUUGUCUGGGUAGGGGAGCGUCGUGCACGCGUGGAAGCGUCGGGGUGACCUUGGCGUGGAGUGUGUGCGAGUGAGAAUGCAGGCAUGAGUAACGAAUCUGGCAGGUGAGAAUCCUGCCCGCCGGAUGACCAAGGGUUCCUGGGUCAAGUUCGUCUUCCCAGGGUGAGUCGGGACCUAAGGCGAGGCCGACAGGCGUAGUCGAUGGUAAACGGGUUGAUAUUCCCGUACCCGAGUGUGCGCGCCCAGUGGUGAGCCGGGGAUACUAACCAUCCGGUCGGUGCCUUUUUGUCCACUUCGCCUUCGGGUGUUGUGGCGUGGUACCGGUCGCGUGGGGCCUGAUCCGUAGUAGCCAAGUGAUGGGGUGACGCAGGAGGGCAGCCACGCCGUGUUGUUGGAUUGCGCGGUGUAAGCGGUGAGAGGCUCCGGUGAGGUAAAUCCCGCCGGAGGAUAACCUUGGGCCGUGAAGCGUAGACACAUAAAGUGUUGAUGGUGGUGUGCUCAUGCUGCCGAGAAAAGCCUCUAGCGAGUGCACAUUCGGCCCGUACCCUAAACCGACACUGGUGGUCAGGUAGAGGAUACUAAGGCGUUCGGGUGAACUGUAGUUAAGGAAUUCGGCAAAUUGCCCCCGUAACUUCGGGAGAAGGGGGGCCACACCUUGGUUGGUGUGGCCGCAGUGACAAGAGGGAAGCGACUGUUUACUAAAAACACAGGUCCGUGCGAAGACUUUUAAGUUGAUGUAUACGGACUGACGCCUGCCCGGUGCUGGAAGGUUAAGAGGACCUGUUAGGCCAUUUUUUGGUCGAAGCGGAGAAUUUAAGCCCCAGUAAACGGCGGUGGUAACUAUAACCAUCCUAAGGUAGCGAAAUUCCUUGUCGGGUAAGUUCCGACCUGCACGAAUGGCGUAACGACUUCCCUGCUGUCUCAACUACAGGCCCGGUGAAAUUGCACUACGAGUAAAGAUGCUCGUUACGCGCGGCAGGACGAAAAGACCCCGGGACCUUCACUAUAGCUUGGCAUUGGUGUCCGGUCCGGUUUGUGUAGAAUAGGUGGGAGAUUGUGAUCCGGCAUCGCCAGGUGUCGGGGAGUCGUAAUGUGAAAUACCACUCUGACCGGGUUGGCCACCUUGAACCUUGGCCCAUGAUCUGGGUCGGGGACAGUGCCUGGUGGGUAGUUUAACUGGGGCGGUUGCCUCCUAAAUGGUAACGGAGGCGCCCAAAGGUUCCCUCAGCCUGGUCGGUAACCAGGUUUUAGAGUGUAAGUGCACAAGGGAGCUUGACUGCGAGAGGGACUUCUCGAGCAGGGACGAAAGUCGGGACUAGUGAUCCGGCACCUACUUGUGGAUGUGGUGUCGCUCAACGGAUAAAAGGUACCCCGGGGAUAACAGGCUGAUCUUCCCCAAGAGUCCAUAUCGACGGGAUGGUUUGGCACCUCGAUGUCGGCUCGUCGCAUCCUGGGGCUGGAGCAGGUCCCAAGGGUUGGGCUGUUCGCCCAUUAAAGCGGCACGCGAGCUGGGUUUAGAACGUCGUGAGACAGUUCGGUCUCUAUCCGCCGCGCGCGUGGAAACUUGAUGGAAGGCUGUCCCUAGUACGAGAGGACCGGGACGGACGUACCUCUGGUGUGCCAGUUGUCCCGCCCGGGGCAUGGCUGGUUGGCUACGUACGGGAAGGAUAACCGCUGAAAGCAUCUAAGCGGGAAGCCUGUUCCAAGAUGAGGUUUCAUUUGAGGUUCCCUGUAGAUGACGGGGUUGAUAGGCCGGAUCUGGAAGCAUCGUAAGGUGUGGAGGUGACCGGUACUAAUCCGCCGAACAAACACAAAC